rnacentral:tRNA from 1 species
GGGGAUGUAGCUCAGUGGUAGAGCGUCCGCUUCGCAUGCGGAAGGCCCGGGGUUCGAUACCCCGCAUCUCCA